GGGCCGGUAGCUCAGCCUGGAAGGGCGCUGCGUUGGCAUCGCAGAGGUCGCGGGUUCGAGUCCCGCCCGGUCCA
rnacentral:tRNA from 1 species